rnacentral:rRNA from 1 species
GACGAACGCUGGCGGCGUGCUUAACACAUGCAAGUCGAACGGAAAGGCCCUGCUUUUGUGGGGUGCUCGAGUGGCGAACGGGUGAGUAACACGUGAGUAACCUGCCCUUGACUUUGGGAUAACUUCAGGAAACUGGGGCUAAUACCGGAUAGGAGCUCCUGCUGCAUGGUGGUGGUUGGAAAGUUUCGGCGGUUGGGGAUGUACUCGCGGCUUAUCAGCUUGUUGGUGGGGUAGUGGCUUACCAAGGCUUUGACGGGUAGCCGGCCUGAGAGGGUGACCGGCCACAUUGGGACUGAGAUACGGCCCAGACUCCUACGGGAGGCAGCAGUGGGGAAUAUUGCACAAUGGGCGGAAGCCUGAUGCAGCAACGCCGCGUGCGGGAUGACGGCCUUCGGGUUGUAAACCGCUUUCGCCUGUGACGAAGCGUGAGUGACGGUAAUGGGUAAAGAAGCACCGGCUAACUACGUG